rnacentral:tRNA from 1 species
GGGGAUUUAGCUCAGCGGCAUAAGCGCCUGCCUUGCAAGCAGGCAGUUGUGAGUUCAAUUCCUG